rnacentral:rRNA from 1 species
GAUGAACGCUGGCGGCGUGCCUAAUACAUGCAAGUCGAGCGAACAGACGAGGAGCUUGCUCCUUCGACGUUAGCGGCGGACGGGUGGGUAACACGUAGGUAACCUACCUAUAAGACUGGGAUAACUUCGGGAAACCGGAGCUAAUACCGGAUAAUAUUUCGAACCGCAUGGUUCGAUAGUGAAAGAUGGCUUUGCUAUCACUUAUAGAUGGACCUGCGCCGUAUUAGCUAGUUGGUAAGGUAACGGCUUACCAAGGCAACGAUACGUAGCCGACCUGAGAGGGUGAUCGGCCACACUGGAACUGAGACACGGUCCAGACUCCUACGGGAGGCAGCAGUAGGGAAUCUUCCGCAAUGGGCGAAAGCCUGACGGAGCAACGCCGCGUGAGUGAUGAAGGUCUUCGGAUCGUAAAACUCUGUUAUUAGGGAAGAACAAACGUGUAAGUAACUGUGCACGUCCUGACGGUACCUAAUCAGAAAGCCACGGCUAACUACGUG